GCCUGGUUAGCUCAAUCGGUAGAGCGUGAGACUCUUAGCAGUUCACACGAUCUGUAAGAGCGAUUGAUCUCUCUGCAAUCUCAAGGUUGCGGGUUCAACCCCCGCAUCGGGCU